GUUUGCAGCAGUCCAGCAAGUGCUCUGAGAGGCACUGUGCCUCAGGUCUGUGGUAUGGUGCACUUCUAAACUAGAAAGAAAGGACUGAGGUACAAGUCAACUUGCCUGAAAUAGAUGGACUUUAAGGACUUUGACGCAGUGGGAGAAAAAAAAGGGGGCUAAGUAUAUAAUAGUCCUGUGAAAUACUUUGGAUGAUCAGAAGGAGCAGAAGGUCUAGAGGAACAAGGCUGUAUUUCCUUUUGAUUACUCCUAGAGCUAUACUGAAUUAA
rnacentral:lncRNA from 1 species